UCUCCGUUGGUGAACCAGCGGAGGGAUCAUUAUCGAGUUUAUAACUCCCAAACCCUAUGUGAACUUACCUCUUGUUGCUUCGGCGCGCGCUUCGGCGCCGCCGAGGACACUUAAACUCUUUGUUUUUAUAAGCAUUUCUGAGUGGCCGAAAGGCAAAAUACAAAUGAAUCAAAACUUUCAACAACGGAUCUCUUGGUUCUG
rnacentral:misc_RNA from 1 species